UUGCACAUUUUUGACCCAUGGGGAACAUGAGACAACGGAUGUCUGAGUUAUUUAUUGGGGGUAAUUAUUUAGAUGGUAAAAACAGAGCCUAUAGCAUAUGUUCCUCAUCACAGAGCUGUGUUUUUUGUAAGAGAGGUGCAAAAACGAGGUAAAACACUCGGACACAAGUCUUACACUUAGUCACUCAGGCUCUCCACACUUUGAGAUGAAUCCAGGUACCCCGUGAAAAGAAAAAAAGUGAUGCAAUUUUAUUUAUUUUUUAUGUUUUACAAAAGCGUGUAUGUUAACCGAGAUCAUUUCAUUCAUAUCAGAGGCAGCUUAUCGCAGCAUUAACGGCACGCGCCCCGAAGAGCAGCUCACUAUUUUAGAGCAUAUGAACAAGCUUUACGUGAAGAGCAAACACUCGAGAGAGUAAACUGCAAGGCGACCGAAACAGGCGCUCUGCGUGAUCAGCAACAGCAUCCCCUAACUCAGGAAAUUCCGGACUGCGUGCUGCUUCAAUACUCUGAGGGCUCCAACGUUGUCCCCCAAGAAGAAUUUUCAGCUGACCAAGAUACGUAAUGCAGCUGCAUACAAUUCGCUAG